rnacentral:rRNA from 1 species
UGGGGAAUUUUCCGCAAUGGGCGAAAGCCUGACGGAGCAAUACCGCGUGAGGGAGGAAGGCUUUUGGGUUGUAAACCUCUUUUUUAAAGGAAGAAGAAAGUGACGGUACUUUAAGAAUCAGCAUCGGCUAACUCCGUGCCAGCAGCCGCGGUAAUACGGAGGAUGCAAGCGUUAUCCGGAAUCAUUGGGCGUAAAGCGUCCGCAGGUGGUUCAUCAAGUCUGCUGUUAAAGACAGAAGCUCAACUUCUGGCAAGCGGUGGAAACUGGUGAACUAGAGUAUGGUAGGGGUUGAGGGAAUUCCCAGUGUAGCGGUGAAAUGCGUAGAUAUUGGGAAGAACACCAGUGGCGAAGGCGCUCAACUGGGCCAUAACUGACACUCAGGGACGAAAGCUAGGGUAGCGAAAGGGAUUAGAUACCCGCGUAGUCC